UACGUAGGGGGCAAGCGUUGUUCGGAUUUAUUGGGCGUAAAGGGUGCGUAGGCGGCCGGGUAAGUCUGAUGUGAAAUCCCGCAGCUCAACUGCGGAACUGCAUCGGAUACUCUCCGGCUAGAGGAAUGGAGGGGAGACUGGAAUUCUCGGUGUAGCAGUGAAAUGCGUAGAUAUCGAGAGGAACACCAGUGGCGAAGGCGAGUCUCUGGACAUUUCCUAACGCUGAGGCACGAAAGCCAGGGGAGCAAACGGG
rnacentral:rRNA from 1 species